rnacentral:rRNA from 1 species
UACGGAGGAUGCAAGCGUUAUCCGGAUUCAUUGGGUUUAAAGGGUGCGCAGGCGGAAUGAUAAGUCAGAGGUGAAAUCCUACGGCUCAACUGUAGAACUGCCUUUGAUACUGUCGUUCUUGAGUAUACUUGAAGUGGGCGGAAUGUGUCAUGUAGCGGUGAAAUGCUUAGAUAUGACACAGAACACCGAUCGCGAAGGCAGCUCACUAAAGUACAACUGACGCUCAUGCACGAAAGCGUGGGGAU